ensembl:lncRNA
UGUAACCCGGUGUGGCUGCUUAGCCCGUCUGCUUCAAGGUUCCAACGUGUUGUGCAUUACAAGAUGCUCUUCUGCAAGUAUUUUCUGAACCGAGAUAGGACAUGUUUGGUCUGUCAUGUCCUCUCUGAUAGGCUGCUGUCGCCAUAGCACCCGACAGACAGUGAGCUGAUGAGGUGUUGUGUCAAAAUGAUAUCGGAGGACACGGUGCAGAGGCAUGGAGUUUAUUCAAGAGUGAGGCUCCAUACAAGCUUUGGCUGUUUGUUAUCAGGUAGAUUGGAUCGUCUUCUCAUACUUGCUUUAAAUAUAUAGAUAACAUUACUAGACAUGACAUGGUGGGAUGGUCCAUGACAGAAGGGCACAAUGAACACACAUGAAUGAUCCCGGCAGGUGCAGUGACAAAGAUGAUAUCACCGUGUAUUAUAAAAGUCAUGAACGCUUUUGUGGCACCACUCUCAGAGAAGGCUCUGGUAAAAAAAGAUAAUAAAGAGAGAGAGAGAGAGAGAGAGAGAGAGUUUAAAGAUCUUCGAUUACACAUUCGGUAUUAUUUCUGUCUUUUUAAUGAUUUGUCAAGGAAAAGAAUGUCAAUCCCAUAUAGUCACACACAGAAAUAAUAUUUUAACUCAUCAAAUAGUCAAUUAUUAUAUGAGGCUAUAUAAGUACAGGGUACAGAAGACACAUUUAUAGUUAAAAAUUAAAAAAAGUGUCACAGUGAGCCAAAUAUGUUUUCAUCCUUGUGAAAUAUUUCAUGAUGAGUAGUGUUUAUUAAAGUUGCCACCUGAUGUAAAAUACACAGUAAUGAAUUGGAUUUAAAAGAAGCUGAGCAUCCAGAAGAGGAAGAAUUCAUACUUUCUUAUUCCAGCGCCAUCAAGUCCUCAGUGAAUCAUUUAUGUAACUUAAGGGGAAUGUUUUAGCUUUAAAAAAAGAAAGUGUCAUGAAAAACACUUAUUAAUCAGUGCGAAGUACAAUGACGUUGCAUAGAAGAAUGCAUAUUGCACACACCUCCACAACCAACUUUCCUGACCAGGUCAUGCUGUACGUCACAAAUUCACCCUCACCCCUCCUAGAAGGAGAUGUUGUUGUACAAAAGCAACCACCAAACGUUUCAUGUCACUGCAGAGGAAGGUAGGAGUAGACAAGGUACCAGUGGGAGAAGCGCCGCUGCACAGCAGACACAUCAGCCCGUCCCCGAUACAACAGGACAUUUUACGUUACAUUUUCAGUUUAACUCUGCUUCCUCCUGACUUUCCACCAUGAAGAUCUGGUCUCUGGGAUUUUGCCUAAUGGCUCUGCUGACAUUACGAAAGGCUCAACUUGAAGCAGCGACCACAGUUACAGCUGUUUUACCCAGUGAAACUGUCAC